rnacentral:tRNA from 1 species
UCCACAGUAGCUCAGUUGGUAGAGCAAUCGGCUGUUAACCGAUCGGUCGCAGGUUCGAGGAGUCCUGCCUGUGGAGCCA